rnacentral:rRNA from 1 species
AUUGAACGCUGGCGGCAGGCCUAACACAUGCAAGUCGAGCGGAUGAGAGGAGCUUGCUCUUCGAUUCAGCGGCGGACGGGUGAGUAAUGCCUAGGAAUCUGCCUAGUAGUGGGGGACAACGUUUCGAAAGGAACGCUAAUACCGCAUAUGUCCUACGGGAGAAAGUGGGGGAUCUUCGGACCUCACGCUAUUAGAUGAGCCUAGGUCGGAUUAGCUAGUUGGUAGGGUAACGGCCUACCAAGGCAACGAUCCGUAACUGGGCUGAGAGGAUGAUCAGUCACACUGGAACUGAGACACGGUCCAGACUCCUACGGGAGGCAGCAGUGGGGAAUAUUGGACAAUGGGCGAAAGCCUGAUCCAGCCAUGCCGCGUGUGUGAAGAAGGCCCUCGGGUCGUAAAGCACUUUAAGUUGGGAGGAAGGGCUUACAGCGAAUACCUGUGAGUUUUGACGUUACCGACAGAAUAAGCACCGGCUAACUUCGUGCCAGCCGCCGCCGUAA